GAGAGUUGAUCAUGGCGUCAGGACGAACGCUGGCGGCGUGCCUAACACAUGCAAGUCGAGCGAGGAGAUCCUUCGGGAUGAUCCUAGCGGCGGACGGGUGAGUAACACGUGGGCAACCUGCCUCAUAGAGAGGAAUAGCCUUCCGAAAGGGAGAUUAAUACCUCAUAACAUUGCAGUUUCGCAUGGAACAGCAAUUAAAGGAGCAAUCCGCUAUGAGAUGGGCCCGCGGCGCAUUAGCUAGUUGGUGAGGUAACGGCUCACCAAGGCGACGAUGCGUAGCCGACCUGAGAGGGUGAUCGGCCACAUUGGGACUGAGACACGGCCCAGACUCCUACGGGAGGCAGCAGUGGGGAAUAUUGCACAAUGGGGGAAACCCUGAUGCAGCCAACGCCGCGUGAGUGAUGACGGCCUUCGGGCUGUAAAGCUCUGUCUUCAGGGACGAUAAUGACGGUACCUGAGGAGGAAGCCACGGCUAACUACGUGCCAGCCGCAGC
rnacentral:rRNA from 1 species